GGCCUUGUCGUUGUUUUGAUGGAUCGAGACCUUCUCUGGGAAUUACUUGGGAUUAUGGGAUCUUUUGAAACUUAUAAGAUUUGAGAUAAAACUAAAUGGGAGCUAUUUUACAAGGAAAAUUCAUAAGACAUUAAACAACCUUUGAAUCUUUGAAUAAUGAUCAUAAUCACAACUAAGAGCUUAGGACUUGGACAUUAGUUUUGGAAAAAUGAGAAGUGUCGCCAAAUCCAAGUUUUGGGGAAACUAAUGAGUUUCCGAGUAUGUUGAUACUCUUUGCUCGAUGAGCAGUUUUGUUGUUUGACUAUCUAAAAGAUAAGUCGAGAAAAUUAAUAAGUUUCCGAGUAUGUUAAUACUCUUUCGCUCGAUGAGCUGAUUUGUUGUUGGGCUAUCUGAAAGAUAAGCCGGGAAACGGGUAGUUUCCAAGUACAUUGGUACUUUUUGCUCGCUGAGCAGUUUUUGACCAUCGGAUGGAGAUGAGUCGGAUGAUUCGAGAAAUCAUCAUGAGAUACUUUUUAUAAUUAAUUGUCUUUUGUCGCAGAAUCGACAUUUACCUUAGGGUAAUCUUUUUAGAGACAAUAAGUUAGCUAGAACACGUGACGACGUGACGAGUGAGGUCGGAGACGUUGUUUGGCUAAUCACGUUGCAUUCAUGCACUCAUUUUGAGGUUAAUACACGGUGGGAUGCCGGACCUCGGUGGAUUCUAAAAUGGUCAUAAGACCCGGAUUUCCACAUAAGAACACUGCGGUGAUUCUUAGUAGCAGACGGAAAUGGCAGGCCUGCGGGUUUACUGCUGAUCUGACUACACUUUGUUUGGUAUAAGAGACACCCGAGCAGAAAUGGUCCCACCGUGGCUGGUGUUAGGGCUGACUUGUUGGUGCCCAUCCCUCCGGAAUGCAUCUUGUUCCUUUGCAUUUGCAUUUCAUGCACCAUUCAUGCUGAUUUAGUUGCAGAAUGUAUUUGUUACCUGUUAACAUUGCUUGAGAUAUGUUAAUUGCCAGUAAAUGUUAUUUAUUUUCGUUGACAGGAUAUACCAUUUAUAAUGUUGUCAUUCAUAACUAAGCCUAUGUGGCUACUACUUAUACUUUGCCUAUUGGAUGUACUAUUAUGUAAUUCUUUGAGUUGACCCUUGCGCGUGCUACUUGUGUAUGGGGGGCUAUGUAUACCCUUUUUGUCAGAUGUCGAUGGCCGAUUGGUUCGAGAUGGUCGUCCCUUCGGAGGGGACCAGGUUUGAGUUGUUAGGCACGGACACCCCGGGCUCUUGGGUGGUCGAUCCCGCCGGUCACCGAGCCAUUUACACGGGGCGAAUAAUGGAGGACCACGUCGACCGAAUGAGGAACCUGACGCAAGGAGUCUUGAGACGCCACACGGUUAGCUUCAACCUACCACCGGGCGUGCACUAUGGCCCUGGAGUUGUGGUACCACCACCAUCACCUGAGGACGAGGAGGACCCUUCGGAGGAGUUUCCUGUAGGAGGGGCUUCAUCGGAGUCUAGCUCACCCACCGUCGCGGCUGCUGCUGUUUUGGGAUCGGGAACAGUACCCGUAGGACCCGCUGUGAGAACCGACGCAGUCAUUGACCAGAUCGUCCUGGAUUCAGAUUCAGACGACGAUCAUGGUGAUGCGUAGCUGGGAGUGGUGUGUAGUACUCCUCUAGUCAGGAUUAGGGUAGGAGUAGCGUCGUGGCUCUGAUCUUCAGUUUUUCUCAUUUUGGGGCAGGGUAGGUCCCCGACCUUUAGUUUUUUGUGUGGUUCUCUUUACGGGAGUCACAGGGAGUUGGUCGGAUUAGGAGGUCUUCGGGCUGUUUUGAGCUGACCUACUUUCUUUUUGGAGGACUGUAUAUCAGAAUACUGACCUUAUAUUUUGUGUUGUACAUAUUUGCCGGCAGGCACUACUUUCCCGUCACUGGAGGUUACUCGUGACGUGGCAUGUUGUUUACUGUGGGGAGUGUAUAUAUAUUGUAUAUUAGUCUUGUUUAUCUUUCGUCGAUACGUCUUUAAAUCCGACAAGUCUUUAUUUACUGAAAGCAAAUAUCGAAAAAAAAAAUAUUCACGUUUUUCCGCUUUUAUUUUCUUUUGGUUACUAAAGUGACGCCACCGAAAUCGGGGUGUUACACAGAGGAAGGGCGAGAAGGGGAGUUUCACCCCAAGUUCUGAGAAUAGAUACUCAUAAACAUAAAAGAAGUGGGACUUCUUGACGUCCCCGUCCGCACGGUGCACCCACAGGCGGUCUGCAUCUGUGCAACCCCCGGCUCGAAGGACGUUCGCAAAAUAUUUCUCGCGACAGAUCCCCCCAGUCUUGCGCUCUAAAUUGGCAAUAUGGUCACAGUAGGCGUAGUCCGAGGUUUGGUCAAUUGUGUCUUGGGGAGGAGCGGUUUGAACGGGGCGUUUUAGGGUGCUAAAGGUUUGGAGCCGGUAAGCUUUAAUCUCUUCAAAGUCAAGGAGGGGGGUUCCUUCGAAAGGAGGGGUUUCAUUAGACGUUUCUGAUGUUGACUCGCGUUGAAAGGAAGUGGCUGGAGAGGUGUUACAGUUGGUGUCAUGAUGGAGGUCAUCGAAUUGUUCUUUAGGUGACAUGGUGGAAAGAGCGAUCUUUAGGUGACAUGGUAGAAAGAGCGAUAGUCACAGUAAUAAGUGAAAGGAAAAGCGAAAAUGGGUAGAGGAAACUCAUUAGGGAAGUAAGCAAAUGAUGGAAGAAGAGGAAUGAGACGCCGAGGUACCGGAACAAUGGGUUCGUCGGAGACGAUUGGAAGAGUAAAUAAUGGAGAGCAAGUUUGUGAGAAAUUUGUGAAAGAAGUAAAUGGUUGAAGUAACGGGAGUUUUAUAGGUUCGAAAGGAGAAUUAGAAGGGGCGUGUGAGAAACUGCAACGUUUGGUGGGAGAACAUGCCCCAUGAUAAGGAAAGAGAGUGGCUGCAUUGAAGGGAGCGUGUGAGUGGCAGGCGGCGUUAUUCCGCGUGAUUGGCUCGAAUUUCGUGACUUUAUGACGUGAUAUGACGUUUCAAAGGUGAUAGUUGGGAUUUCAAAGAUAUGCUAACUUUUCCGUUUCACUGACGUGUCAACGCACUAGGCAACCAAACUCACCACGACCGCCUCUCAAGCGUGGCGACCAAACACUCCACGACCAUCGCUCAUGGACUUAUGAAAUUUUACUGCUUUUAACGCCAUGUCGGCGACUUAAAUACUUUAGCACAAUAGUAUUUGUAGUUAGUCGUUUUGAUCCUUAAAGACACACUUAGCUCUCAUGCUUUAUACUCAGUGUCUUGUGGACCGGUGGACUGGGCGAGCCCCCAAGGGGCCUACGCCCCGGGGUUACCCGCCAAGUGGCGGUCGCCCAACCUGGAGAUUGCGCCUUCUCCUGCGAGGCCCAACUGGCCCAACAAGGGCAGUUAUGCAUAAUAUGCCCAGCUCCCCUACUAUAAAUGGGUAGCGGUUAUGUAAAGGACUCUUGGCUCAUUUGAUCAAAACACACUUGUGAUUAAGUUAUUUUCUCUCUCUUGAGCGGUUAUUCUCUCUCUCUCUCUAGAUUCUCUUUCUUAGUGCAAUCCCUCUAUUAUAAGUACCAUACCUUAUCUCAAUGUUCAUAGCAAGAACAAUAUUAAUGAGAAGUUGUAAAUAAAAAUUAUACAACAGUUAAUUGGCUUUUUAAGGAUUAUUAAAUAGCUAGUUAAUGAUAGAUCACAAACCCAAAUUGAAGGAGAAAUUGAUUCGUCAUAAAUUUUUCCAGAAUGAUUUAGAGCUUGACACUUGUUAGCUAGUGAGAUGGUGGGGAGGAGAGUGAACCUGGGAGCAACACGUCACCUAAUUGAUUCUGGUAGUGUUGUUCUUUUCUAAAGUAAAAGUCAAAUUGCAAUUAUGGAGAAAAAAAAUCUUGUUUUUCUCUUUAAUAAAAAAAAAACAACAAUGAUUGUAAUGAAUUGCUUUAAUUUUAUUUUUUUUUUCCAUAAAGAAAUAACACAUUUUAAGUAUAUAUUAAAUGAAACCAAAUGUGAAAUAAAAGUCAGCAAGCAAUUAUGGAGCCAAAAAUCUUUAGUAUUGUUUUACAAAUUUCAAGUAAAAGUCAGGAAGCAAUUAUGAUGACAAAAAUCUUGAUGCUUUAAUUUAGUUUUUUUUAAUGAAAAAAACACCAUAAUUGUAAUGAUUAGUUGUCUAUUUUAGAGAAUGAGUGCUGACUUUUUGCAAUGCAUUAAUGGGAAAUUUAAAAUAAAAAUUAUGGGAAAAACUUAAGUACAGUACGUACUAAUUAUGUUGUUGGUACUGUUUUCUAACCAAAUCAUGACACCUGUACUUUUUUUUUCAACACCAUAUCAGAAGAAAACCUUCAUGUUUCCCUCUUUCCCUAACCUUUCAUCUCCAACCCCUCGGCCCUCACAACAUGCGACCUUUCUGGGCCCUCUUCUGCCAUUGUCAACGUUGAAGCUUCCAGCCUUGACGCUACGACAUGGAUGGCCAAGCCUCCUCAACAUCGCGGUAGUGUAGAGCAAGAGCUUGGUCACAGUGGUAGGAGUAGGACUCUGAAAUCAUGGUGAAGUAGAGAAUCAAUUUCACAAUUUCAACCUGCAUCAUUGCAAUUUCUUCAUACAUAGCCCUCUUUUGCAUUCAUUGUGGUUGGGAUUUUGAAAUUUUACAUUUUCAUUUCCAAGGUGAGUCUCACUAGUCGCUCCAGAGUCAUGCUUCAUGCUUGUGUAGAAAUAUAGAGAAGCAACAGAGUCCAACAUGAUGUUCUCACCAAUAGCUUAACUUGUGAUGGGUUUUUAUUGUCUUUAAAAUGGAGCAAAACUCAUCACAGGAGAAAGGAUAUAUGUUAAAUCUUCCAUGGAAACGAAAUGGGGAAUUUGAGGUACAAGAAAUAAAAGAGCCACUAUGAAAAAAGUUAAUGGGGUGUCCACGUCUAGUUUUUUGAUUGAAGAGCAGUACCAACUGCACAUAUCAUACUGCAUAUAAGUUUCUCCCAAAAAUUAUACAACAAUUGCUUGACACUUGUCAGCUAGUGAGGGGGUGUGGAGGAGAGUGAACCUGGGAGCGACAUGUGACCUAAUUGAUUUUGAUUGUGUUGUUCUUUUCUAGAGUAAAAGUCAGAUUGCAAUUAUGGAGAAAAUAUCUUGAUGCUUUAAUUUAGUUUUUUUCUUGAAUAAAAAAACACCAUAAUUGCAAUGAAUAGUUGUCUAUUUUAGAGAAUGAGUGCUGACCUUUUGCAAUGCAUUAAUGAGAAGUUUUAAAUAAAAAUUAUACAACAAGUAAUUAGAUUUUUAAGGAUUAUUAAAUAGCUAGUCAAUGAUGGGUCACAAACCCAAAAUGAAGGAGAAAUUGACUUGUCAUAAAUUUUCGCAGAAUGGUUGAGAGCUUGACACUUAUCAGCUAGUGAAGGAGUGGGGAGGAGAGCGAACCUGAGACACUCCAGGCCAGGGACACAACAAGUUCAUCAAUUCAAAAUGAAGAUUCACUUCUUCUGCCUACACUUGUCAAAGUGAAGGUAUUGAGCCAGAGCCUUGAUGAUGGAGAAGGGCGAAGCAAAAUACGGGAAUGGAAUUAUGGUUCAUUCAAGUUGCGAAUGUUGAUAAUUAUACACAAGUUCGGGAUAAAAAACCAAUGAACACAACAUGCACCGACAAAGCUAAAAUUAUACUCCUUCCGGUCCUAUUUAUAAGCAUGAAAGAGAAGAAAAAUUUUGGUCAUUUUUAUAAGAACCAAAUGAAAGUUUGAGAUAUAUCAAUUAUUUUUUCCAAUGAUACCCUUAUUAAUUCUAACUUGUAAAAUGUGUCUCAUUAAUUAUUCUCUCUUUCUCACUUUCCAACACUAAUAACAAAGGGUAAUUUUGGAAGUUUAUUUUGAUUCAAGACAUAUUUAAUGCAUUUUAUCUAGUUUAACUACAUUUCUUAGACUAUGUGAAUUUUUUUGUGUUGUUUAUAAAUAGGAGCGGAGGGAGUAUCUCUUUGUUGAGGGUGUGUUGUUGAAAGAGGGAUGUGUGAUGAGAGAGGUAAGAGUCCAAGGGGUUAUCAAGUAAACUUGUCAAUUAAAGAUAUAUCAACUAAAAAAUAUAUAUGUUUUUGAGGUUGCCGAGCGUGGUCCUCCGGCAGGAGGUCCUCCCUCUCCUUAUGGCUCAUAUUUCACGCGUGCAAAGAAGGUUUGGCUUAUGGGGUAACGUGCGGGUUUGGAAUUACUUGGCAAUGAGGAAGACAUCAUUUGUGAUCUAGCGGAUUACCUCAAGGAUAAUGGGCUUGUGGGGUUGUAGCAUUCUUGCAUUGUCUUGGCAUGUCUUGGCUUAUUGUAUUUGGUUUUUGGAGUUUGUUGGCUUCUGGGGUUUCUGGUGUUUUUCUGUGGGUUUCGUUUGGUGAUUGUUUUUUGCGGCAGAUCCUUUCUUUAGGUUCCUUUGCCUUGUCCCCUCCUUCUGGGGGUUGUACUUUGCUUUUAUCUUUCAAUAAAUUCUUUUGCUCUCUAAUAUAUAUAUAUAGGGAGCAUAUCAGGUGAGAGGAGUGGUUUAUGGUGAGAGGUGAGAGCAUUAAAAUAUAUCCAUUGGAUCAUUAUCAACGGUUAAGAUUUAACUUUAGUUUUAACACUGUCACGUGUCUCACAAUCCUGAUUCUUUCAGGUCUUUCUUCUCACUCUUACACAUUGAAUUUUUCCCGUUCUUUCUUUUUGUUAGAAAUUGGGAUGCCUAUACUUAACCACAAAAGCUAGCUCAAGAGUUGAGGUUUACACUACCCUUAUAAAGCUUAUCUUGGCUCUAUCUCUAGCCAAUGUGGGACUUCUAACACACCCCCUCACGUCCAGGAUUGAACAGACUGGAACGUGGGAUCAACAACGGGUGGCCCAAAUAUGGGUGGUCUCCACAACAAAUGGAUCUAGGAUAGGCUCUGAUACCAUAUUAGAAAUCACAUGGAUUUCUUCAAUGGGAUCCCAAACAUAGCAAAAGGGAGAAUAGGAAAAUUGAUUCCAAUAUUCAUUCAUUAUUAAAAUUGAUAGUGAAAAAUUACAAUGAGUAUGCUAUUUAUAACACAACUUCCUAACUAACAAUUUCACUUCUAACAAACUACUAACACUUACUGCUAACUAUUUACAAUGUGAUUCUUAUAUUUCUAAUAUCCCCCCGCAAGCUGAAUGUGGUAUGCAAUAGCACAUCCAGCUUGAGAAUAGAACUACCCAAAAUGUAAUGAUGAAAAUCAAAUCCAGUAUAUAAGCAAUAGCAAUCUUCAAAGUCUGCAACUCUUAAUGGUAUGUAUGAAUUUCUGAAUUUGUAGAAUCUCCACUUCAUGUACUCAUAAACUGGCAGCCUUCUCUUAUCCUCUAAACAGAAUCCAAUCAGUAUAACCAACAUAGUGCUUGAUCCAUCUCGAACCUUGGUUCCAGGGAGGAAAAAUUAAUUCUGGGAAGUCUGCAGUAUUAAGACAUUGCUGCACUACUUGCUGAAUUUUCUUUAUUGCUUCCAAGUACUCAUCAUGCAAAUACUCUGAGAAAUGAUGUGGCAGCACAACAAACUUCACCAUUCAAGCCUUCAAGGGCAAUAGCAAGAAAUAUGAAUGUUAUCUUGAGAGUGAUUUCCUUCCAUUUUAUUCCCUUGAACAUCUCACAAGGACAUAAUGAAACAUAUCCAGCACAAAAUUCAGCAAUCAACAACUCUAUCACCAUCUCAGCAGUGGGAGCAAUGGAGUAAAAUAAAUCAGUUCGGAAAUAAGGAGAAAUAGGCACUUCUAAUGAAAACUUGACAUCUUCAACGCAUAAAAACAUAUCUCCUACAUUCACAAUCAACAAUCUCAAGAGCCCAAGUUCUUCACUGCGACUGUUACAACAGACAAGCACCAAUGCAUCCCGAUAUAUACUCAAAUUUGAAGCUCCACCUAUUCGUUUACCAAACAACUCGAACUGAACCUGCUCCAAACUGCUUAAUGAGCAUCUAUCAAUCAUUGGAGCAUUUACGCAAACACCUUGUGUGCAGCUCCUGGAUCCACCAGGGUCAAGUAAAAUUUACUCAAAAGAAUAUCCUAUCAUUGUGUCAUUUUCACAAACAGCUCGUGAACAAUCCCUAAAUCCUCCUGGAUCAAAUGAAAGUUUCUUAGGGAGAUUUACUAUCUCAGAGUAAUUUCCACAAACACUUGGUGUGCAAAUCCAAAGACCAUCAAUCUCAAGCAAUAGGUUCAAAUCAUUCUUCCAACCAAAAGAAAAAUUCCUUAAUCCUAGCCAAUACAAUUGAGAUUCUUUGAUUGAAAGAAGGAUUUGAAUUACCUCUGUGAUAGAAUUCUUCAUGAGACUCGAAUCUGCUCCAAGAUUGAUCACACCCUCACUGAAAUCUCCAAAAACAUAAGCAUUGGUGCCUGGUUUCCACGCCGGUAAUUGAACAUCCCGAUCGGCAAAGAACGAAAGAUGCGAAACAAAGGAGGAUACUACGGCAGGAUCGCUGGUUGGAGAAUCUGAAGCAAUGGCUUUGAAACACAAGGGAGGCGAAAUCUCAGAAACUUCUGGAGAAGACAAAACAAACACAGCUUCUUCCAUGACAGAAAUUGAUGAAGGCGAAGCUUCAAGAAUUUCUUCUGGCAUGGCGACGGCAACAGGCUGAACAGCGAUGGCAAAAGUCUGAAGCGCAGGACAAGAAUCAGUGUGCAAAUGCGACGGUGAUAAAUCCAGCGUCAAUGCAGAAAUUGAAGAAGGAAUCAAGAAACCCUUGCUGAAAGUGCCAAAAAACGAACGGAUCAAUCGCCGGUUUCCACGCCGGAAUCUUGAUUUCUCGAUCGGCGAAGAAAGAAACAGGAAAAUGAUCAAGAAUCUUCUCAGAAAUCAUUUCAUCCAUGGCAACAUCAAAACACGCAGGGGAAGGAGGAACUGGAGGAUGCAAGAUAGAAUCCUCAUCUUCAACCUUCACGAUUGAUUCUUGCACCAUUAGAGAAUCAGAAACCAUGACCAUCGAAUCAGAGAACGAUGAACACGAACCAGAGCUCAUGACUGAAUCAGAGAACAACGAAGGAGAAGAUGAAUAUGUGGUGUUGUCUCCAAAAUCAGCGAUCAAAUCAGAGAAAGUGAAGGAAGAUAAUCUCGCAGUGGUGCUGCGGCGGCAGCGCUUGAAGCCACGGCGAGCAGGUCGAAGGAAGCGCUCGUAACUCGGCGACGGCGGCGGCGGAAGUGGCGGUGAGCUCCAUUGGAGCUCUGAUACCAUGUUAUUGGCUAGAGAUAGAGCCAAGAUAAGCUUUAUAAGGGUAGUGCAAACCUCAACUCUUGAGCUAGCUUUUGUGGUUGACUAUAGGCAUCCCAAUUUCUAAUACUUUUGUUCCUAGUUCCACUCCAUCAUCUCCCUGUGACGACGUUGUUACUGUUUUGGCGACCCUCUCGCGCGCACGGCGACGGAGACGCCAACCCAUCCUUGUGGCUUCGCGUGCUUUUUCAUUUUCCGGCGACCCAGCAGUGUCUCAUUUAAAUAGGUUGUCUUCUUCUUUAUUUUCUUUUGUAUUCUGGAUUUUCCCCCAUAAUUGAACCAGACAUGGUGUUUUCCCCUUUCAAUUUUUUGAUAAAUCUCGUGCAUCUCGCCAAAUAAAAUCAGAGAAAAUUAUAUCCGAGAUGGAAGAUGGAAGUUUCUCACUUUAAGUGCUAAAAAGGCAAUUUAUUCCAAAGCCCAAUGGAUGAUUCUUGAAACUGUAUGUGGAGAAGGGUGAGACUAACAAUCUAGCAAAGAAGAACGAAUUCAUGCCAGAGAAGAGGAAAGACCGGGGAGAUGAGAAGUUACUGCAUGUGGAGAAGGGUGACCCUGACUCCGUGAGAAUGAUGGAAAACAAGGGUCACGUGACUGUUAAAAAUGAAGAAUAAAUUUGAACCCUUCAACUUGAUCAAACGGUCAUUAACUAUUCCUCUCAUCUCUCAUUAUAAAUCACUCCUCUCACCUGAUAUGCUCCCAUAUAUAUAUGUGUAUGUACCCAAAUCUAAAAGAGUAGAUAUUUGGGUGUACCUCUUGCGCAUCAAAGGGUUACAACAAGUACUUACCAAUUUGUCUUGGAUAAGACUCAACGACGUCUUUCUUCUUGGCGCUCACAUGUUCUCAAUUUUGCAGGAAGAGUGACGCUCACUAAAUCAGUGACAACUGCUCUUCCAACUUAUUGUUUGCAGACCAACCUUCUCCCAAAGGAGGUGUGCAACAAGUUGGAGAGGAUACAAUGGGAUUUCAUUUGGGGUGGCUCGGAGGGUGCUCGCUCCGCGUAUCCGGUUGCUUGGGCUAAACUUUGCAGGCCUACGAGUGAAGGGGGGUUGGGACUACGUCGUUUGCACGAUUUCAAUCGUUCUCUGGUGAUGAAAUUGGGCUGGGGACUAGUCACUAAUCCGAAUUCUCUGUGGGCGCGAGUGGUUCGUGACAGGUAUGGUUGUGGUAAUGGCCCCUUGCCAGUGGUGCAGAAACGACACUCGGAAUCGCAUGUAUGGAGAGCUAUUAGAAAUACUUGGGAGGACCUUAAUAGUAAUCUGAAUUGGCGUGUGGGUGAUGGCAUGACUACGCGUUUCUGGAGUGAUCGCUGGGUCCAUUAUGGUGUGGUGCUGAAGGAUGUAGCUAUUACAGAAAUAUGAUUAGUGAACAGUGUUAAACGAAUUAAUGAAUUUUAUGAUGCAGAGUUGAGGCAGUGGCUGGUGGAUUUAUUCCAACACCUCCUGCCUGCAUUUGUGGUUUAGGGUUUAGGGUUUAGGGUUUAGGGUUUAGGGAAAAAAGACGUAGUAUUACAGGAUUUGUUCUAUAUGCACAAAUCAAAAUCGGGCCACUUUUUACUCAGAGUAGAAAAGAAACCUAAAAGAAUUGAAUAAGCCCAUUCAGAAACAAGAAAAUCACAUUGUGGGAUUCGAUCUCGAUGAAAACUAUACAUCAAUGAGAAAUUCAAGAAGUUUAGGACAUUUUUUCUUAUUAAUGUAGAUAUAGGAUAGAUACAAGGGAUAAAAAAAUCGUCUUUCUUAAAAAAUGUAAGAAAAAAAAUACCUUUUGAUAGAAGCUCAAAAAGGUACAUUAUGAAAAAAGGAAAGAGACUUGAAAUUGACACAUUGAUUCCUUUUUGUGACUUUUGGUGAACCAUAUGCAUCCAAAGGUGCGUGUAUGGCUCUUAAGGGAUAAAAUUUGAUCCUAAUCAAUCGACUUUAUAGAGAAAGACUGCUUUUUUUAGGCCAGGAAGUUAAUAGUGAAAUAUCAAAUCAACUUAUUGUUCUUAUGGUAUAUCUCAGUAUAGAGGAUGAUAAGAAAGAUUUGUAUCUGUUUAUUAAUUCUCCGGGAGGAUGGGUCGAUUUUUUUGUUCAUUUCUUCUUCGUCGCUUAAAAUUGGAAAAUAGAAGAAUUAAGUGAAUCAAAAACCCAAAGGAGGUUCAUGGCCAAGGGUAAAGAUAUCCGAAUAAUUGUUAUUUUGGAAUGUACCGGUUGUGAUCAAAAGAGUGUUAUUAAGGAAUCCAGCGGUAUUUCCAGAUAUAUUACUCAAAAGAAUCGACACAAUACGCCCAGUCGAUUAGAAUUAAAAAAAUUCUGUCCUUGUUGUCGCAAACAUAUGAUUCACGCAGAGAUAAAGAAAUAGAUAAAAUUGAACGUUUGUGUGUCACUCUUCCAAGGAAAAUAACAAAUGAUCCAUUUUCAGAUAUCUUCUAAAACUUAUAUUCAUAUAACACUAUAUAACAUAGAUUUCAUUAAUAUAUCGGGCUUGAUCGUGUCAUUUGGAGGCUGACGAGUACUGGACACUUCUCAUAUAAAACCGCGUAUGAGGCUAGUGGCAGUGAAGAACCGGGGAUUCCUACUCUACCAUGGCAGUGGAUUUGGCGUUGGGAGGGGCCUUUCAAGAUCUCGAAUUUUCUUUGGCGUGUCAUGCAUAAUGGAGUGUGGGUGAACGCUUGCCGCUGGAGGUCGGGUAUUACGCAGGACCCUCUUUGCCCACUAUGUCAGGAAGAAGAUGAAACAAUUUUACACUCCUUAAGGGACUGUCGUUGCGUGAAGCCUCUCUGGGAACAACUGGUGGUGCCUUCCAUGCACGCUCAUUUUUUCUCUGAUGAUAUUCGCUCCUGGCUUCUGUAUAACUUGGAUGACCACUCAUUGACAUCUUUGGGUGGGGGAGUGCCAAGUUUUGGUUUCCUUGUUUGGCAGAUUUGGGUGGCUCGAGCAAAUUUGUGUUCCAAGUAGUGCCCUUCGUGCUGCAACAAGUCAAUGCCUCGGCUCUUCGAAUGCAACUGGAUCAUGCCUGUUGUAGAACAACUCUCUCUUCUCAGGCUUUGCAGAGUAGGCGACGUUACCAUGAGGUUCUGAUUGGGUGGUCACCCCCUGCUUCUGGUUGGGUAAAGUGCAAUACAAAUGGGUCAUUAAAAGGGCCAGCUUGGUUAGCAGCGUGCGGCAGGGUGUGUCGGGACUCUAAUGGGCAGUGGCUGUUUGGGUUUAGCCGCAACUUGGGGUCGUCGAAUGUGUUAUGGGCAGAAUUGUGGGGUAUUUUUUCGAUCAUUCCAAUGGUUUGGGAGCGAGGGUGGCGGAGAGUGAUUCCAUGGUGGCUAUCCAAUUGAUAAAUGGGGGUUGUGACGAGUUCCACCCGUAUGCGUCUUUGGUGAAUCAAAUCCGUGUUUGGCUACUUGCUAGGGACUGGGAUUGCAGGUGUGUUCAUAUCUGUCGGGAGGCGAAUCAAGUGGCGGAUUGUCUGGCAGGUGUGCUCCCCCUAGCUGUUCUAUUCUUUUAUUUACUAAUUGUACGAGAGUGUCUUUCCCGAGGUCUACCUUAGUGUAGUUUCGUUUUCUAUUUCAGGCUUUGUCCCUCCAUUUGAACCAAAAAAUAAAUAAAAAAAAGAGUAGAUAUAAUUGAACUUAUCUCAACCAACCAUCAAAUUAACAUAAGAGGACCAUCAAACUCGAACUUCAUUCUCAAAGUCCAAACCAAACUUAUAAUAUUGUUAUACUUGUUAGAAAAAAAAGGCUUGAUCGUGAUGGAAAUCACUUUCCUUAAAGUAUUUCAAGCACUCUCUGAUUUCGUCUUAGAGUUUGGAUGCAAGAAUACCCAGGAUAAUCAGCCUUGCUUCGAGUUUGCACAAGACUAAUGAAAACUCGAAAUGAAGGGAAGUGAUUUUCUGGAAACAGAGGAUAUGAAAAAGUAUGUUUUGAACUCUGAAUAUGCACUGUAUUUAUAGGCAAAAAACAGAACAAUGUAUAAGGUCGCGACCCUUCAUAUAUUGUGUCUGUUACCAACAGAUAUAUCUGUUCCCAACAGUCGCAAUGUUCCAAUUCAAAACGAGCAAAACAAACGGUCGUUACGGCAACCGCGUUGCCGUUGCCGUUGCCGUCGAUGCGUCGUGAGUGCCGUGCCAUCUACAAGCCGCCACUAGCGCCUCUACGCCCACGCCCACGCCCACGCCCACGCCCACGCCCACGCCCACGCCGGUGUCGCCGGUGGCGAUACCGGCGAGGGAUGGUGUGAAUGGAACAUGUGACAUAAAAGCUUGGGACCACCAAACCAUGCACAUGUGGCACUAUAUCCUCACUUUGUCUCUUUGUUGAAUGGUUGGCAUUUAAUGAUAUAUAAAUGCUUUGGAAAGUUGCUCCACUUUCUAUGUGGGACUUCAUUCCAAUCCAUUCAAUGCAAAAUCAACACACUUGUCAUUUUGGAACACUAUGUAAUUAUUACUCCUUGAGUAAUUAUUACAACAAUCCCCCACUUGUUACAUAAAUGACAAUGCCAAUUCCAGAAAUAGACACACCUGAAUGUUAAUACAGUUUAGUAUCUUUCGAUUUGAACUAAACCUUAGUAAAUAUUGUGCAAAGUAUAAUCGAAAUAUUAGGUAGCUGUGCUUUGAACCCAUAUUCCUAAUGAUCAUACCGGCAUAAAAUUACACACACUCGUUUGUGGUCCUUCGCCUACAUUUUCCUCGCCUAGCACUUUUUAUGGCCAUGUGCUUUCCUGUUUUCGUGAAUUUUUAUGAGAGAAACUCCAACUCUCAUUUGAGACAGCACCAUCUCGAAAUUCAUAUAGGUGAAGUUCAUAUCGUAUGUGAUUUACGCAAAAACACAUAUUUCGAUCAUGAAGUCCAUUAAGAGUAUAUUGAUACUCAACCCUCAAUAUCUAAUAGUCAACAUUGUUGCUUAAUGUUGCAUUGUCAUCCAAAUCAACGAUUUGUUGUUACCCAUUGAAUCUUAGGUUAAGGUUUUCUUAACUUCAGAUUGGGUUGCUACCGUUGUUGGAACUCUUACUCAAGGAGUUUUAAUCCCAUACCUCUCGAGGUUUUCUUUACUAAGUCUCUGGCCAGUGGCUUAGUAAAAGGAUCUGCUAGAUUAUAGCUUGUUCGUAUAUAAGUCAGUGAGAUAAUUCCAUCUUUAACCAUCUUUCUCACAAGAGAAUGUCUCAGACCUAUGUGUCUAGAUUUCCCAUUAUAUACUUCACUGUAUGCUCUGGCUAGGGUGGCUUGGCUAUCACAAUGUAUCAACACUUUUGAAACAUUUUCUUUAGCCAAUGGAAUUUCCAAUAGGAGAUCUCUUAGCCAUUCAGCUUCUUGUCCUGUAGAAGCUAGAGCCACGAAUUCUGAUUCCAUGGUGGAGAGGGUAAUACACGUCUGUUUCUUGCUCUUCCAAGAAAUUGCUCCUCCAGCCAAUGUGAAUAUCCACCCAGUGGUGGAUUUAUGAUCUCCAGCACUCGAUAUCCAACUAGCGUCGGUAUAUCCUUCUAGUAUUGCUGGAAACCUAUCAUAAUGAAGUCCAAGAUCUUUGGUUUUUGAAAGAUAACCAAAUAUCCUUGCAACUGCCUUCCAAUGCUCAUCAUUUGGAUUGCUAGUGUAUCUACUCAUCUUACCAACAGAGAAUGCAAUGUCGGGUCUGGUGCAUUGCAUUAGAUACAUUAGACAUCCAAUAGCGCAUGCAUAUUCCAACUGGGCCACUGCCCUUCCUUUAUUCUUUUCAAGUUUGACACUAAGAUCAAAGGGAGUAUUUACUUCCUUAAAUCGUAAGUGUUUGAACUUAUCUAACAUUUUCUCAAUGUAAUGUGUUUGACUAAGUUCAUAACCCCCACUAUUUCUUUUAACUUUAAUCCCCAAAAUGGUAUCAACUUGUCCAAGAUCUUUCAUCUUGAAAGAGGACUUUAGAAAAUUCUUUGUUUCUAGAAUUCCAUCCAUGGUAUUGCUCAUGAUCAACAUAUCAUCCACAUAAAGACAAAGAAAUAUUGCAGUAUCGUUCUGCACCUUUGUGUAUAGGCAUUUGUCACAAGAAUUCGGAAUAAAUCCAUUUGAAAUUAUGACCGAGUCAAAUUUCUGAUGCCACUGUUUUGGCGCCUGUUUUAGGCCAUAUAGAGAUUUUACUAGUUUGCACACUUUUUGUUCAUUUCCAGGAAGUAUGUAACCCUCUGGUUGUUCCAUGUAAAUUUCCUCAUCUAGAUCUCCAUUUAAAAAUGCAGUUUUAACAUCCAUUUGAUGUACUGCAAGAUCAUUUAUUGAGGCUAAUGCAAACAAUACUCUAAUUGUGGUUGUUCUUGCAACUGGUGCAUAUGUGUCAAAGUAAUCAAUACCUUCUUUUUGUCUAAAUCCUUUGGCUACUAAUCUAGCCUUAUAGGUGUUUAAUGUUCCAUCAGUAUGAAACUUUUUCCUAAACACUCAUUUACAUCCAAUAGGUCUUGAGCCUUUUGGAAGAUCAACUAGUUCCCAGGUUUGAUUAGACAAGAUUGAAUCCAUUUCAUCUCGGAUUGCAUCUUUCCAAAAAGAGGAAUCCCUUGAAGCCAUGGCUUCCUUAUAUGUUUUAGGAUCAUCCUCUAAUUGUAGAAUAAUAGGAAUUUUAUGCACAUCAUUCUUACAAUUACCUUCAACAAGGUAAAAGGAAAUGAGUUGAGAAUCGAUUUCAUCUAAACCUAAGUUCUUAGUCUUUCGAAUUCUCUUACUUUUCCUAGGUUCAGGUUCAGGUUGUAUUUCUACAACUUCUUGAGAAUCUAUGUCUCGAGAUUCCUCAUUAGUGUGCGUUUCAUAGUCUUUAUUCUUUGUUAUAAGAUUUUCAAAGAAUUCCACAUCUCUGGAUUCGACUAUGACAUUAGACUCUAGAUUUAGAAGUCUAUAUGCCUUACUGUUUGUGGCAUAUCCAACAAACGCACAUCUAAUUCCACGGGGACCCAAUUUUGUUCUCUUUGGAUCCCUAUUUUUGUAAUAUGCUACGCACCCCCACACUCUAAAAUAACCAAUAUUGGGUGAUCUACCCUUCCAUAUUUCAUAUGGAGAUAUUCCGGUCAUUUUUAGGGGUAUCCGGUUCAUUAUAUGACAUGCGGAUAAAAGUGCCUCGCCCCAUAGAUUAAAUGAUAAUUCAGAGUGCAUUAGCAUGCAGUUUAUCAUUUCUUGAUAGGUUCGAUUCUUUCUUUCAGCAAGACCAUUUUGUUGUGGUGUACGCGGUGCAGAACAUUCAUGUAUAAUACCAUGUUCUUCACAAAAAGAGUCAAAUUCUGUAGAGAAAUAUUCUCCACCCCUAUCACUUCUCAAAACUUUGAUAGUUUUAUUUAAUUGAUUUUCUACUUCUGCUUUGUAUGAUUUAAAGGCAUUAAAAGCAUCAUCUUUAUGCUUCAAUAGGUAAACAUGAGUGUACCUAGAACAAUCGUCUAUGAAUGUUAUGAAAUAUCUAUUUCCCCCACGGGUUAGCAUGCCAUUAAAUUCACAUAAGUCAGAAUAUACAAGAUCAAGUAAAUUAGACUUUCUUUCAACACUUUUGAAAGGUUUUUUGAUCAUUUUAGAUUUAACACAUAUUUCACAUUUUUCAAAUUCAUGAAUGUUACAUGAGAUUAAUUUGGACUUAAUUAGUCUAUUCAUAGUACUAAUACCAAUAUGUGCUAAUCUAGAAUGCCAUAAGGAAACAGAAUCAAUCAUAUAUGCAGAAUUGGAAACUUUAUUAAUAAUGUUAUCAAUAGUACAUAAUUUGAUCAUUCCCUCAGCGGAAUAUCCUUUUCCUACAAACACCCCAUUACGAGUUAAUAUGAGUUUCCCAGAUUCAUACACAGAUUUGAUUCCUGGUUUUCCCAACAAGUCCCCACUAACAAGGUUCCUACUCAUCUCUGGAACAUGCAACACAUUAACAAGAGUAACUAUCUUUCCGGAAGUGAAAUUGAGUUCGACAGUUCCAGUUCCAACAACCUUUGAUCGAACUUCAUUUCCCAUUUGCACUUCUUGAUCAUCAGUUGAUUCAGAGUAAGUCUUGAACGAUGCUUUGUCAUAUGAUACAUGAACAGAGGCACAUGUAUCAUACCACCACCCUGCAACUUUACCCUUUACAGCCAUAACUUCGCUCACAGUAGCGAUUAUUUCAUCAUCAACUUGAACAGCAUUCACUUCCUUUUUAGCCUUGUUUUGUCUGCAGUCUCUAGCAAAGUGGCCAGGCUUUCCGCAAAAAUAGCAGCCACCCUUUGGACCUUUUGUUCCAUUGUUGUUUUUGAACUUAUUAUGUUCUUUCUUUGGUCCGAGAUGUUGCUGUUUGCCAUCAUAUUUUUUCUUGCCUUUUGCUGUUACAGUAUUUGCCUUAGAGAAACCAGAAGACUCAGCCUUGUCUCUAACCUUCGAUUCCUCCUCGAUUCGAAGGUGUUUCUGAAUUUUCUCCAAAGAGAAGUCUUCAGAAUUGUGCAGCAGUUUCUUCCUGUAACCAUUCCAUGAAGGUGGCAAUUUUGCAAUGAUUGCACCAACUUGAAAGGCUUCAGGGAUAUCUAUUUUCACUGCCUUUAUCUUGUUUACGAGAACCUGUAACUCGUGAACUUGUUGCAGAAUAGGUAAUGUAUCUAACAUUUUGAAAUCGAAAUAUUUAGAUAUUAAGAACUUUUUGGUACCUUCUUCCUCAGCCUUGAAUUUGAAUUCCAAUGCUUUCCAUAUUUCCACUGCGGACUGAGUGUCUGUGUACAGAUCAUAGAGGCGGUCGGAGAGAGUGUUCAGAAUGUGUCCACGGCACAUCAACUCAUCCUCUCUGCGCUUCUUUCUUUCGGUCUUAAGUUCAUCAGAAUCAUCAUCUUUUGGUUCAGCAAUUGGUGUUAGAUCAGGGUCUAACACAUAAUAUAUCUUCAGUGCAGUCAGGAGAAAAAUCAUCUUGUCUUGCCAGCGAGUGAAAUUCGUUCCAUCGAAGCGAUCAAGUUUGACAAGAUCCUGGUUCAUCACUUUGAUACUGGAGACAGAAGCAUCGGUAGCCAUUUGAAAUUACUUUAAGAUUGUUAGAAAAAUAGGCUUGAUCGUGAUGGAAAUCACUUUCCUUAAAGUAUUUCAAGCACUCUCUGAUUUCGUCUUAGAGUUUGGAUGCAAGAAUACCCAGGAUAAUCAGCCUUGCUUCGAGUUUGCACAAGACUAAUGAAAACUCGAAAUGAAGGGAAGUGAUUUUCUGGAAACAGAGGAUAUGAAAAAGUAUGUUUUGAACUCUGAAUAUGCACUGUAUUUAUAGGCAAAAAACAGAACAAUGUAUAAGGUCGCGACCCUUCAUAUAUUGUGUCUGUUACCAACAGAUAUAUCUGUUCCCAACAGUCGCAAUGUUCCAAUUCAAAACGAGCAAAACAAACGGUCGUUACGGCAACCGCGUUGCCGUUGCCGUCGAUGCGUCGUGCCUCAAGUGUCGUGCCGUCUACAAGCCGCCACUAGCGCCUCUACGCCCACGCCGGUGUCGCUGGUGGCGACACCGGCGAGGGAUGGUGUGAAUGGAACAUGUGACAUAAAAGCUUGUGACCACCAAACCAUGCACAUGUGGCACUAUAUCCUCACUUUGUCUCUUUGUUGAAUGGUUGGCAUUUAAUGAUAUAUAAAUGCUUUGGAAAGUUGCUCCACUUUCUAUGUGGGACUUCAUUCCAAUCCAUUCAAUGCAAAAUCAACACACUUGUCAUUUUGGAACACUAUGUAAUUAUUACUCCUUGAGUAAUUAUAUUACAACAAUACUUCAUCUCUUGAACUGAUUUAAGUGUGAAUUUUAUGACUAACUUAUAUUUUGACAAGCCUAAAGUAACAGCUGAAAAUCAUGAACUAGAAAUACAUCAAUAUCAAUGGCAUAAAAUCAUGAGCCCCACUCUGACAAGCAAGAAAUCUUAAAUUCCAUAUCAGAUUUUUAGAAGCAAAGCAGGUUUAGAUUAAUAUAUUUUACCUGGUUCAAAUUAUCAGACGAACUAGUUAAUUACUACCAAUUAUUCUGAGCUCUAGAAGGUGAAAAAGAAGUAAAAACAACUAUUAUUUUUCUCUUUGUCUAGAUUCUUCUAAGACAAAAUAAUUAGUUCUACUAAUUCUUCUAAUGAAAUAAAUCAAUGAAAAUAAUCCGAGACCCAAUCGUUAUUAAGAAAAGCUCAUGGCACAAACCACACACAAUGUCUUCCACCAUGAAAAGAUAGAGAGAUGGAGUGGCAUAUAUCUAACAACACAACGACACCAGCAAUAACAGAGCAAAAACGCAUGAAUAACAGGACAUAAUCACAGCAAAUGAAACACAAUAAAAAAAGGGCUUAAUUACAACUUUGGUCCCCGACGUUUACCAAUGCCACGAUUUUGGUCCCUCACCUAAUUUAAUUACAUGGAUGGUCCCCGACAUUGUAGGUUGCGUGCAACGUUAGUCCUACCGUUUAUUUCUUAAUGGAGGAGGCUUACGUGGACGUCUAGUUGGAGAGAAAAAGGAGAUCUGAGGAGAGAGGGGAGCACGUGAGUAUCACGUGAACCUUAUAUGAACCCAUUAUACCUAAAUCUGAAACCCUAGGGAUCUAAAUCGCGUUACCUUCUUCGUUCCAGGGAGGUCAGGGGUUUGGGUAUAAUGGGUUCAUAUAAGGGUCACGUGAUACUCACGUGCUUCCCUCUCUCCUCAUACCUCAUUUCUCUCUCCAACUGGACGUCCACGUAAGCCUCCUCCAUUAAGA
rnacentral:lncRNA from 1 species